CCGCGUGGUAGAAGAAGGCCUUUUGGUUGUAAAACUCUUUAAGGCAGGAGGAGAAUGCUACCUCUUAUUCUGAGGGAUAGUGGACGUUAUUUGCAGAAUAAGCACCGGCUAACUAUGUGCCAGCAGCCGCGGUAAUACAGAGGGUGCAAGCGUUAAUCGGAUUUACUGGGCGUAAAGCGCGCGUAGGCGGCCAAUUAAGUCAAAUGUGAAAUCCCCGAG
rnacentral:rRNA from 1 species